UGGGGAAUAUUGCACAAUGGGCGCAAGCCUGAUGCAGCAACGCCGCGUGAGGGACGACGGCCUUCGGGUUGUAGACCUCUUUUGGCAGGGAAGAAGCGAAAGUGACGGUACCUGCAGAAAAAGCACCGGCUAACUACGUGCCAGCAGCCGCGGUGAUACGUAGGGUGCAAGCGUUGUCCGGAAUUAUUGGGCGUAAAGAGCUCGUAGGCGGUUUGUCGCGUCUGCUGUGAAAACCCGAGGCUCAACCUCGGGCCUGCAGUGGGUACGGGCAAACUAGAGUGCGGUAGGGGAGAUUGGAAUUCCUGGUGUAGCGGUGGAAUGCGCAGAUAUCAGGAGGAACACCGAUGGCGAAGGCAGAUCUCUGGGCCGUAACUGACGCUGAGGAGCGAAAGCAUGGGGAGCGAACA
rnacentral:rRNA from 1 species